CCUACGGGUGGCUGCAGUGAGGAAUAUUGGUCAAUGGACGAGAGUCUGAACCAGCCAAGUAGCGUGAAGGAUGACUGCCCUAUGGGUUGUAAACUUAUUUUAUAUGGGAAUAAAAUGUUCCACGUGUGGGAUUUUGUAUGUACCAUAUGAAUAAGGAUCGGCUAAAUCCGUGCCAGCAGCCGCGGUAAUACGGAGGAUCCGAGCGUUCUCAGGAUUUAUUGGGUUUAAAGGGAGCGUAGGUGGAUUGUUAAGUCAGUUGUGAAAGUUUUCGGCUCAACCGUAAAAUUGCAGUUGAAACUGGCAUUCUUGAGUACAGGAGAGGUGGGCGGAAUUCGUGGUGUAGCGUUGAAAUGCUUAGAUAUCACGAAGAACUCCGAUUGCGAAGGCAGCUCACUGGACUGCAACUGACACUGAGGCUCUAAAGUGUGGGUAUCAAACAGGAUUAGAUACCCGGGUAGGC
rnacentral:rRNA from 1 species